GGCUGACAGAAGAGAGUGAGCACGCAUCGGCCAGACUGCAUCUAUAUACGGCUGCUCCUGGCGAAUGGAUAGAUGCCAAGGCGCAGCUGCUGUUGCGUGCUCACUUCUCUUUCUGUCAGCU